rnacentral:tRNA from 1 species
GGUUAUGGCUCAGCGGUAGAGCUUUCGCCUUGCAACUGCAAGGCCCUGGGUUCGAUUCUCAGCACCA